UGCCGCUGCCCUCCUUGGGCGUCUCCCUCAGACUUGGGCCGUUCGUUCAAUCGAACGGCCCUUUUUUUGUGUUUU
rnacentral:sRNA from 1 species